GACGAACGCUGGCGGCGUGCUUAACACAUGCAAGUCGAACGAAGAGCGAUGGAAGCUUGCUUCUAUCAAUCUUAGUGGCGAACGGGUGAGUAACGCGUAAUCAACCUGCCCUUCAGAGGGGGACAACAGUUGGAAACGACUGCUAAUACCGCAUACGAUCUAACCUCGGCAUCGAGGAUAGAUGAAAGGUGGCCUCUACAUGUAAGCUAUCACUGAAGGAGGGGAUUGCGUCUGAUUAGCUAGUUGGAGGGGUAACGGCCCACCAAGGCGAUGAUCAGUAGCCGGUCUGAGAGGAUGAACGGCCACAUUAGGACUGAGACACGGCCCAGACUCCUACGGGAGGCAGCAGUGGGGAAUCUUCCGCAAUGGACGAAAGUCUGACGGAGCAACGCCGCGUGAGUGAUGACGGCCUUCGGGUUGUAAAGCUCUGUUAAUCGGGACGAAAGGCCUUCUUGCGAAUAGUUAGAAGGAUUGACGGUACCGGAAUAGAAAGCCACGGCUAACUACGUG
rnacentral:rRNA from 1 species